rnacentral:rRNA from 1 species
UACGUAGGGUGCAAGCGUUGUCCGGAAUUAUUGGGCGUAAAGAGCUCGUAGGCGGUCUGUCGCGUCUGCUGUGAAAACUCAGGGCUUAACCCUGAGCUUGCAGUGGGUACGGGCAGACUAGAGUGCGGUAGGGGAGACUGGAAUUCCUGGUGUAGCGGUGAAAUGCGCAGAUAUCAGGAGGGAACACCCGGUGGCGAAGGCGGGUC